UCGACGAAUCCACUUACCGAGUGAAAGGUGAAAGAGAAUUUGGAGUCGCAAUCAACUAUGCGGCCCCGGAACAAGAUGGAGGGAGGGAUAGACGAGAAAGAGAGAUCAUAUAUAAAGGAAUCGAGAGAACAGCAGCGGUCAAUCAGUAUAUAUUUCCAUCGUCAAAAACUAUAUCUUUUGUAAGCUGGCUUGCCUUUGCUUUGCUCGAUCACCCGGCUAACUCUCUUUCUCGCGCAGGCUUUUCAGAAAAUGUAGUGUAAGGAAGGUCGGUGGUAGCAGCCAGGAAGGCGAGAGAGAAACUUUAAUACGAGGACAGCUCGCAGUGGACGGUCAAUAAUCAAAGGUCAAUCCUUCAACUGCCAUAGCUUUUCUUUAACUUGCUUACGGACACACAGAGGGAGCGAGAGGAGACCACGCGGCCAAGAAGACGAAGAUAGACUCACGCAAAUAAGAUCGAUUCGUGAGAGCUUCCUUACACAGGUAAGCGUUGAAGACAAGUUCUUCUUUCGCUUUGGAAAAAUAUAUCUCCGACACUCCCGGGUCUCUCUCUCUAGGUGGGCGAUGGAUGGACGAGCACUAGCCGAGCUCAGCGGAGUUUUAUAGCGAAAACAAAGACGAGAGUAAUCCGCAAGGCGAGACAACACAGUGUUCCCGUGAGCCGGAAGAAAGAACAAACUACCAACAAUGGUUUUAGUCGGUUUUAGCAGUGGCCUGGAUACUUCCACCGCCCUCGACAUCGAAGCGAUCGAAGUGAGAGCGAGGCAAGACUACUUUUUUGUGAUUGACAAGGCUGGCCCAUCCUCUUUUGUUCUUAGUUCCAACCAGUUUCGACAAGACCAACCGGAGCGAGAUAUGAAAGAGACAACAAUUCUUGUAUCAACCGCAAGUUUCUCGUGAACUUACAUGGAGGAUCAAGAAGGUACUUUCAAAAGCAAGCUCUCUAGAUUUUUUUUUAAUCUUUUGCUUUGGCAGUCAC